UUUUCUCCUCUCUCUCUCUCUCUCUCUCGAAUGAAGAAUGAAGAAUGCUUCGACGACGGUUGAGGAGAUUCAUGUUAAACAAUCUUAAGACUGGCACGAAACGAUUACAAUCUGUUGGGGUUCUUCUUCCUCGCGGUGAUCUGAUCUAGGGUUUUGAGGCACAUUCAAC